rnacentral:lncRNA from 1 species
CCUAUGUUCAAGAAGGAGAGUUUCUUAAAAUAAUUGAUCAGGUCGACUUGAUAAACUGGUUUGGGUCUCAAAUCAGAUUAUCUUAUAAAUAUAUAUUUACAUGACAAUGAAAAAACUUGUCACAAAGAAACAUUCAUUGCGAUGAAAGAAUUGCUUGUCACAAGAAAAGCUAUGCUUUUGUGAUAACUUUUCACUCUAUAACUUCUGUUUGGUGCCAGGAUUUAAUUAUAGUGGCAGCC